UGUGAACGCUGGCGGUAGGCCUAACACAUGCAAGUCGAACGGCAGCACAGGAGAGCUUGCUCUCUGGGUGGCGAGUGGCGGACGGGUGAGGAAUACAUCGGAAUCUACUCUGUCGUGGGGGAUAACGUAGGGAAACUUACGCUAAUACCGCAUACGACCUACGGGUGAAAGCAGGGGACCUUCGGGCCUUGCGCGAUUGAAUGAGCCGAUGUCGGAUUAGCUAGUUGGCGGGGUAAAGGCCCACCAAGGCGACGAUCCGUAGCUGGUCUGAGAGGAUGAUCAGGCACACUGGAACUGAGACACGGUCCAGACUCCUACGGGAGGCAGCAGUGGGGAAUAUUGGACAAUGGGCGCAAGCCUGAUCCAGCCAUACCGCGUGGGUGAAGAAGGCCUUCGGGUUGUAAAGCCCUUUUGUUGGGAAAGAAAUCCAGCUGGCUAAUACCCGGUUGGGAUGACGGUACCCAAAGAAUAAGCACCGGCUAACUUCGUGCCAGCCGCCGCGGUAA
rnacentral:rRNA from 1 species